rnacentral:misc_RNA from 1 species
UUCCUUUUUUUAUUGUAUUUUGUAAAUUUACAUCAAAAGUUUCACAUUUUAUCGACUUCCACUUGUAAUCCACCUCAUAAUAAAGUAAACUUCUAGUAGAGUAAAGUUAUACACAUCUUCUAAGCUCAAUACGAGAAGAUUUUCUUUAUUUACUAAAUUCUGAUUCCAAUAGGGACCUUGUAUGUACCAGUGCUUCUCCAGAAGGCGAGCUAAGGACAUGAAUGUAGUUGGACAUGUUUCCUUCUGUACACAAAACUCUUCUUCACCAGCAAAACUUCUUUUUCCGAAAUUUGGCUUCCUCUUGUCUAUCUAUAUACGCAAGAAGCUCUUCUUGUCUGAUUAAAGCCUCAUGCAAUGCCUUUUUUGUAGAAAUUAGCUCAGCUUCUAGAGCAUCCACUCGACAAACAGCAGCAUUCAGUAACUCCUCUUUCUCAUAAGGCAUCUGAAAAGGCUUCACUUGUAGCAUGUCAACCUUCUCUUCAAGUGCACCCAGCCUUUUCAACACAGAUGAGAGCAGGUCUGCCUGAGUAAAUCUUGGAGCAGGAGAAGGGGGCCAGAACUUCUCCUUGAGCACCAGUUCAAGAGUUGGAUCAGUAGCAUCAAAGACAGAAUUAGGCACAGGGUUUUUCUUAGUCACCCAAAUUGGCAGUAAAUGGAUGAAAGAAAGGAAGGCCAUGAAGAAUGCCACAAGGAGAGCCCAACUACGAGCAAAUAUUCCUUCUGGAGUUUUUCCCACACUUGGUAGAGGCAGUGUUCCUUUGGACAUAUGUGGCUCUUGAAAGGACACUUGUUUCUUCCAUCCACUAUCUACAUUCUUGUCAAUCAUGGGUACAUAUUCAUCA